rnacentral:rRNA from 1 species
UCUUCCGUAGGUGAACCUGCGGAAGGAUCAUUACCGAGUGUAGGGUUCCUAGCGAGCCCAACCUCCCACCCGUGUUUACUGUACCUUAGUUGCUUCGGCGGGCCCGCCAUUCAUGGCCGCCGGGGGCUCUCAGCCCCGGGCCCGCGCCCGCCGGAGACACCACGAACUCUGUCUGAUCUAGUGAAGUCUGAGUUGAUUGUAUCGCAAUCAGUUAAAACUUUCAACAAUGGAUCUCUUGGUUCCGGCAUCGAUGAAGAACGCAGCGAAAUGCGAUAACUAGUGUGAAUUGCAGAAUUCCGUGAAUCAUCGAGUCUUUGAACGCACAUUGCGCCCCCUGGUAUUCCGGGGGGCAUGCCUGUCCGAGCGUCAUUGCUGCCCAUCAAGCACGGCUUGUGUGUUGGGUCGUCGUCCCCUCUCCGGGGGGGACGGGCCCCAAAGGCAGCGGCGGCACCGCGUCCGAUCCUCGAGCGUAUGGGGCUUUGUCACCCGCUCUGUAGGCCCGGCCGGCGCUUGCCGAACGCAAAUCAAUCUUUUCCAGGUUGACCUCGGAUCAGGUAGGGAUACCCGCUGAACUUAAGCAUAUCAAUAAGCGGAGGAAG